UCUAGUAGCUGGUUCCCUCCGAA
rnacentral:ncRNA from 5 species